rnacentral:rRNA from 1 species
UACGUAGGGUGCGAGCGUUAAUCGGAAUUACUGGGCGUAAAGCGUGCGCAGGCGGUUAGCCGUGUCCGAAUGGUGAAAGCCCCCGGGCUCAACCUGGGAAUGCAUUGGGAAACUGCUGGCUGGAGUGGUGGCAGAGGGGGUGGAAUUCCACGUGUAGCAGUGAAAUGCGUAGAGAUGUGGAGGAACACCGAUGGACGAAGGCAGCCCCUGGGCCAACACUGACGCUCAGGCACGAAAGCGUGGGAGCAAACAGG